rnacentral:misc_RNA from 1 species
GUGGUGAUCGGUUUGUGCGGGUCGGACGGUUCCCUGCUUGUGCAGCGACGUUCGUCCUGACAUUCCUCUUCAGUUGUGCCUUCAAGAGCUUUUAGAGCCUCGAGCGUCGUUGGGUUUCCUGUGUUGCAUACCCAACAAAGGAAUUCGGUGCCUUAUGAUGCCUUUUCACCCUGCUUCGCUCGCGCGACGUGGGGCGACAGAGAGGCGCGCCUUGUUAUCCACUAAAGUUGCGUCGACGCGCUUCUUUCGUGGGUUGCUGGUCGUGGCCGAUAUCGUGGAUACGGAACCUUGUGCGGGCACGGAGUCUCGACUCCUAUUUGCCUAAAUAAAGUGUUUUCGCUUCUAACGAACGACGGUUGCUUUCGCGUCCGUGCUCCGACUGCCUAACUGGGUUGGGGGACGGCGCGGCGGCGACGUCGAUGUGGAAUGCUACCUGGUUGAUCCUGCC